AUUUUAAAUACUGAAGGAAAACCACACUAGAAUGAUUUCAGGGGUUUUCUCUUGAUAGUGGGACUAUGGGUGUCUUUCUCAUUUCUUUUUUAAUGCAACCAGGUGCUCUACGAUGAACAUAUAUGAUUUUUAUAAUCAGACACACGCGCGCACACACACACACACACACACACACACGUGCGCGUGCAAAAUUUGCCGAAUUCUCACACUCUUUCAACUGCUCUUUCUCGGGGAAAUCACUCUCCACCUGCUUUGUUCAGUCAACCCACAACCGUCCCCAAAUCCUUUUCCUGAGCUCCACUAUCAGCCUGUAAGGACCAGCACUUUGCCAGGUGCUCCCUCCACACACUCAGGCAGCUCCUGAAGGCACACUCUUCUGGGAAGCCUUCCCUGAUCACCAGGAGGGAAGAAGGCUGGCUCGUCCCUACCCUGCCCAGCACAGCGCUUCCACAGCUCUCUUUGCUCACCUGGUCCACGAACAUCCCCAGCCUCUCUGCUGGGGCGUGACCUCAAGGGACUGUUUCCUGACGUGACCCAGCAGCUUUUGCCGCUGGCUGCGUGUGUGUAUGUGUGUGUUUGUGUUUGUGUGUCUGCACCUGGUGGCCAGGCCAAACACCUAGAAGGAAGUUGAGCUGUAGAGGCCACAGGUCUCAUUCCUGUUGUUGAGGAAGCUGGUAAUGACUCUUCUGUCUGCGUGUCCUGAUUUGCCAUGGCAAAGACUUCUCUUGGCCAUUUAAAAGCCACCCAAACAGUCUUUAAACAACUUAAGAAGUGAUCAAAGGUGUUUGUUCUUAGCCUGGACCAGCAACCUUCUUAAUGGAGUCAGCCUGACGCUCCGUAACUUUGGGAGGAAGUGUUGUGAACCAGUAACGCGGAAGUAGCUGGAAAGCACUUAGAUGUUUAGUGAGUUGAUCUGUCCAAGUACACAUCCAGCUUAUUCCUGAACUGGAAUCGAAUUAGAAAAACCUUUGGAGGAACAAGUUAGUGGGUCAGCAAACAUUUGAGGGCUCACCGAGUACCUGACACUUCUCAAAGCACUUGUGAAAUGCUGUGGCUUUAUCAAAGCAAUAAACAAAUCUGAGUGAUUGAUUGUUCCUGUAGAACUUCCUGGUCACGUAUUACACCCACACGAAGCAUAACAAGGAAGGCUCGGAGGGGAAGACACGCUGUCUUGAGGUGCCUGAGAAAGCGCAUGCGUCUUAGCUCCUGCGGCCUUUUGAGCUAAUUACCCUGGCCUGUGUGUAAUGAAACAGGAUGGCGUUAAGGAUCUAGAUAAAUUGGGCAUCCUGUCAUCGACCUUUGGUGUUUUUGAAACUGAGAAAAAAAGAUUUGGUGUGCCAGCCUUCCUCAUCAGUCUGGUAUCUCACCUGUCAUCUCAAACGAGGCAAACAAACCACGGACAUAUUUUUCUUCUGCGCAGAACUGCACCCUUUUUCGUGAGUAGGUCUGGAUCUGUUUGGCAAUCAGAAUUGAAGAGAAUGGGGGUGGGGGAAGCACUUCUUAGUUCCACCCUCUUCUAAAAUAUCUGAAGAAUAAUAAGUAGGAGAUCAUUAGGAAAAUAGCCAUUUCUUGUUGGUACACUAUCAACCAACAACCAGUUUGUUGAAGGAAUCCACUCAUGCAUUCACUCAACAAAUAUUUAUUGUGAGGAUAAAUGUGCAGCAGGCAGUGUUCUAGGUGCGGAGGAUACAGAAGUGAACAAAACCACCCAACACAGAGCAUGGAUGAAUCUCCAAGCAGUUCUGCUGGGAAAGGUCAAUCCUCAAAGCAACCACAGAAAGAAGAAGUGCAAACGAAAUGAAGGACCUCCCCUUCCCCCAGAGAGGAAGCCAGCCCGCAGUCCUGCAGGAGCCUGCCGGUGGAGCCCUUCUGCCCAGGGCCCAGGGCCCAGG